GGGGCGGGUGCUCACCAUGCAGUCGAGCGGUGAACACGGAGCUUGCUCUGUGGGAUCAGUGGCGAACGGGUGAGUAACACGUGAGCAACCUGCCCCUGACUCUGGGAUAAGCGCUGGAAACGGCGUCUAAUACUGGAUAUGUGACGUGAUCGCAUGGUCUGCGUCUGGAAAGAAUUUCGGUUGGGGAUGGGCUCGCGGCCUAUCAGCUUGUUGGUGAGGUAAUGGCUCACCAAGGCGUCGACGCCUAGCCGGCCUGAGAGGGUGACCGGCCACACUGGGACUGAGACACGGCCCAGACUCCUACGGGAGGCAGCAGUGGGGAAUAUUGCACAAUGGGCGCAAGCCUGAUGCAGCAACGCCGCGUGAGGGAUGACGGCCUUCGGGUUGUAAACCUCUUUUAGCAGGGAAGAAGCGAAAGUGACGGUACCUGCAGAAAAAGCGCCGGCUAACUACGUGCCAGCAGCCGCGGUAAUACGUAGGGCGCAAGCGUUAUCCGGAAUUAUUGGGCGUAAAGAGCUCGUAGGCGGUUUGUCGCGUCUGCUGUGAAAUCCGGAGGCUCAACCUCCGGCCUGCAGUGGGUACGGGCAGACUAGAGUGCGGUAGGGGAGAUUGGAAUUCCUGGUGUAGCGGUGGAAUGCGCAGAUAUCAGGAGGAACACCGAUGGCGAAGGCAGAUCUCUGGGCCGUAACUGACGCUGAGGAGCGAAAGGGUGGGGAGCAAACAGGCUUAGAUACCCUGGUAGUCCACCCCGUAAACGUUGGGAACUAGUUGUGGGGUCCAUUCCACGGAUUCCGUGACGCAGCUAACGCAUUAAGUUCCCCGCCUGGGGAGUACGGCCGCAAGGCUAAAACUCAAAGGAAUUGACGGGGACCCGCACAAGCGGCGGAGCAUGCGGAUUAAUUCGAUGCAACGCGAAGAACCUUACCAAGGCUUGACAUAUACGAGAACGGGCCAAAAUGGUCACUCUUUGGACCUCGUAAACAGGGGGGGCUGGUUGCCGCCCCUCGGGCCGGGAAUGUUGGGUUAAUCCCGCAACAAGCGCACCCUCGUUCUUGUUGCCCCCCGUAUGGGGGGAACCUUGGGAACUGCCGGGCCACCCCCGGAGAAGGGGGGGGAAGCCCAACCCCUUGCCCCUUAGUUGGGGUUCCCCGGGCAAAGAGGGGAACGUCGGUUUCCCCAGGGGGAACCAUAAACACGCCCUGC
rnacentral:rRNA from 1 species